UUUAAUAUGGCAGAUUAGUGCGAUGAACUUAAACUUCAUAUAUAAAGUUUCUACACUUUUAUUAAAA
rnacentral:tRNA from 1 species